rnacentral:rRNA from 1 species
UUGACCUCGAAUCAGGUAGGAAUACCCGCUGAACUUAAGCAUAUCAAUAAGCGGAGGAAAAGAAACCAACCGGGAUUACCUCAGUAACGGCGAGUGAAGCGGUAACAGCUCAAAUUUGAAAUCUGGCUCCUUUGGAGUCCGAGUUGUAAUUUGUAGAAGAUGCUUUGGGUUGUGGGUUCGGCCUAAGUUCCUUGGAAUAGGACGUCAUAGAGGGUGAGAAUCCCGUAUGUGGCCGAGGCCUGCGCCUGUGUAAAGCUCUUUCGACGAGUCGAGUUGUUUGGGAAUGCAGCUCAAAAUGGGUGGUAAAUUUCAUCUAAAGCUAAAUAUGGGCCAGAGACCGAUAGCGCACAAGUAGAGUGAUCGAAAGAUGAAAAGCACUUUGGAAAGAGAGUUAAACAGUACGUGAAAUUGUUGAAAGGGAAGCGUUUGCAACCAGACUUGGGCACUGCCGAUCACCCUGAGUUCUCUCAGGUGCACUCGACAGCGCACAGGCCAGCAUCGGUUCGGGUGGCUGGAUAAAGGCCGUAGGAACGUAGCUCCCCUCGGGGAGUGUUAUAGCCUACGGUGCCAUGCAGCCCAGCCGGACCGAGGACCGCGCCUUCGGGCUAGGAUGCUGGCGUAAUGGUUGUAAGCGACCCGUCUUGAAACACGGACCAAGGAGUCUAACAUCUAUGCGAGUGUUUGGGCGUUA